GGGCAUAGCUCAGUGGUAGAGUGUGUACUUAGCAUGCAUGAGGUCCUGGGUUCAAUCCCCAGUAUCUCCA
rnacentral:tRNA from 1 species